rnacentral:rRNA from 1 species
GACGAACGCUGGCGGCGUGCCUAACACAUGCAAGUCGAGCGAAGAACCAGGGCUUGCCCUGGGGCAAAGCAGCGAACGGGUGAGUAACACGUGGGUAACCCACCCCGAUAACCGGGACAACACGAGGAAAAUCGGGCGAAAACCGGAGGUACUCACUGGAGUUCGGUUCAGUGCGUAAAGGAGGCUUCGCCCUCCGUAUCGGGAGCGGGCCGCGGCCCAUUAGUUUGUUGGUGGGGUAACGGGUUACCAAGACCGGGAUGGGUAGCUGGUCUGAGAGGAGGGUAGGCCACCUUGGGAGGGGGACAGGGACCAGAGUCCUAAGGGAGGCAGCAGUGGGGAAUGUGGAGCAACGGGCGAAAGCGUGACGCAGCGGCGGCGCGUGGGGGAAGGAGGCGUUGGGGUUGUGAUGCCGUUUUAGGGGGGACGAAGGGUUGGCGGUGGAUAGGCGGCCGGACUGACGGUACUUGGACAAGAAGCCCCGGCUAACUACGUG